rnacentral:rRNA from 1 species
GACGAACGCUGGCGGCGUGCUUAACACAUGCAAGUCGAACGGAAAGGCCCUGCUUUUGUGGGGUGCUCGAGUGGCGAACGGGUGAGUAACACGUGAGUAACCUGCCCUUGACUUUGUGAUAACUUCAGGAACCUGGGGCUAAUACCGGAUAGGAGCUCCUGCUGCAUGGUGUUGGUUGGAAAGUUUCGGCGGUUGUGGAUGGACUCGCGGCUUAUCAGCUUGUUGGUGGGGUAGUGGCUUACCAAGGCUUUGACGGGUAGCCUGCCUGAGAGGGUGACCGGCCACAUUGGGACUGAGAUACGGCCCAGACUCCUACGGGAGGCAGCAGUGGGGAAUAUUGCACAAUGGGCGGAAGCCUGGUGCAGCAACGCCGCGUGCGGGAUGACGGCCUUCGGGUUGUAAACCGCUUUCGCCUGUGACGAAGCGUGAGUGACGGUAAUGGGUAAAGAAGCACCGGCUAACUACGUG